rnacentral:sRNA from 1 species
UCUGACCAAGACUUUCCCCAUGCCUCCC